rnacentral:lncRNA from 1 species
GUGGUGAAAUCUGCUUCCUAGAUUCCUCCUUUUCUCACUCUCUCUGGAAAUCCUACCUAUCCUCUCUUGCCUAACUAUUGGCCAUUCAACCCUUUAUUAAACCAAUCAGAAAACCAGGCCUGGGCUUCCAAGCACACCAGCAUGGGUGUGCACAGCGGCACUCGUGCAACACUAUCACGUGUUCUCAGGAAAGUGACUUGUAAUGCAGAAGGAACAUCGCCAAGACAUGGGGGACCGACCCCAAAGCCAGACAAACAAUGACCGACCAACUGAACACAAAGUUUGCCUGUUAAUGGAACAUCUGGAUAAUUUGAACUUAGGUAAUUAGCAACACAUCUCGAGGAUCUUAUGUUCACUGAAGAAUCUGUAAUGUGGGGAUAAGAAUGGGUUUUAGAAGCCAGAAGAAACCUGUUUACCUUACACACUGGGGUGGAUUCUUCCCUUGUGUCUCUGGCUAUAUCUCCAGCACCACCCUGUCGUGCCAUCAUUUUUGAUGCCAUGAUGAUAAUGGACUGAGAUUCUGAAACUGUAAGCCACCCAAUUGAAUGCUUUCUUUUGUAAGAUUUGCCAUGGUUAUAGUGUCUCUUCACAGCAAUAGAAUGGUGACUAAGACAGACCACAAAAGAUUACUGUAUACUGACUAAAAGAAGGAACUCACGAAUAGUGUUAUUAUUUUAAUAAGAGUGAGGAGAUGAUGGAGAAUGUUCUUCUGUGUAUAGGUUUGUCUUAUUGGUUGAUGAAUAAAACACUAAUUGGCCAGGCAGGAUGAUAGGUAGGACUAGGAGACAAGGAGGAUUCUGGGAAGUAUAGGCAGAGAGGAGUCAUCAUGUGAUCCCAGGAAGUGACUUAGCUGGGCAGAAACUGCCACUAGCUAACCAUAGAGGUCUGGAGGUCUGUACAUACAGGCAGGAAGUGACGUAGCUGGUAAGAAUCAAGAUAUAAGCACAGACAAACAGGAAAUCGCUCUCUUCUCUGUGGAGAUACUGAGCAGUCACGAUGUAGAAGGCAAAGGAGUUGCAGGUCCACCAUUCCCUGGUAAUAUAAGACCACAUGGAAAUACACAAAUUAGUAGUUAUGGAUUACUAAUUUAAGAGAGAGACGGCAAAUAAGAAACCCAAGCCAACAGCCAACAACUUUAUAACUAAUUUAGCGUCCAUGUAUUUUGGGGGGCAGAGAAGGGCAGCAGGACCAGCUGGGCCAAGAGUCUCACAUUACAAGGAGAGAGGAAAUUAAAAACAUUGUCUUACAACUAUCUUAGUGAUAAUUCAGGUGAGAUCAUGACAUGACAAGUUGUUUAGGGGUGUAACAAUUAGACGGUCUCAAAGCAUUUCUCUCUAAAUUUACUUGUUAAUCACAAAGAGAAGGGUAUGAUCAAUGAGGAUAUCAAGUGGACACUACUGAUUGAUUUAGUUAGGGUCCCCAUGAGAAGUGGACAUCAUGUACUUUCUGAUGUGACAAUGAAGGGCCCAGACCCUCACAAUGCCCCUGCCUUUGGCAGCCAUGACAGGCUGCAGAAAAGACCCAGCAAGACAUAGGCCCCUGACUGUAGGGGAAGCUGUAGCCACGCCUUCUUAGGGGCUGGCUACAGGGGUACCUGAGCAGGCUUGUGAGGGCGUGGUCAGAGUGAGUAGGGGGUCUGCAUUUCGGUUUCGGUUUCUCUUUGCUUCUUGCUGUACAGACUACCACUGGCUGGCUGGUUCGCUCUGUAAGUAAGGCUUUUCCCUAUUAAAUACCCUUAUAUUUCUACCUGACUCCAUAUUGGUAAUUUCCUACUAUAUCUGGUUGUCAGAAGCGGGAUAUUGGAAACCCACACCCCAUUUGGGACAGGCUGUGGGUUCCAUCGGGCCCGCCGCCUAGGCCCGGAAAGCACCC